CAGCCUGCAUCAUGUUUGGUGUGUGUGACGCCCGUCUGAACUUGUUUCUACCUGAGAACACGCUCCUGCCUGCAUGACUCUGGAAUCAACAUCACAAGCUCGAGUGUUUUCCAGCCUGGCCUCACCUGAAAUGUACAGACAGAGAAACAUGAGCCAUAAGGAGCAUUUCAGCUCAAAGGUGUAACCUGCCGGGCUCUGGCUCCAGAUGACAGACAGCAGUGGGUGAAGGUUCAGAUGUGCCUCUGCAAUCUAUAUGGUAAGUGGCUCUUCACAGGGUGAUUACAUCAGACAGUGACGUGUGGAAGGACCUGCGAAGCCCAGAUGUGUAAUUAUCUCCAGUCGGGCUCACGUGGUUUACAUGCCACGCUGUCCUGACGCGAGUCCUCGUCGCUGCGGGCCGAACCGGAGCGUGGUGCCGACGGGUCGGAGCUGUUCUGGUGACACGAGGCGACGUACACGAUGUUAGUAACACAGUAUGACAACAGGCCCGUCUUCCACUGCAGGGUUCAGAAUGAUUUGUGAUUUUUAGUGUUGAAAAUAUUUCAGAUUCUGUCACAAAAUCUGGAGCAGAUGUUGAUGAAUGUUAAUGCCUGUUGGAUCCAGAGACUUUCAAUUAAAUACCACCAACUCUUUAAAGUGUAGAAUACUGAAGACUGAACAAAGUUGUAGAGAGAAACCCAAUAAAUCCAACAGAACCGGGCUCAGGAAGGGCGGCCGUCUGCCUCGACAUGUCGGGGUGACACUAAAGAGGAGAGAGAACCGGAUCGCUGGUAGAAGAACGGACAGAACAACGGACACUGGGGAGGUCGGAGGUCUGUGACUGCAGACUGAGGAACAUGCAGCUCCAGAUCCAGAGGAACCUGCAGAGAGGACAACACAGAAACUACAGGAGAGAGACAACACAAAGGUGGUGACAUGCAGCGCUGGCUUCCAGCUGUAUGGAGAGUGGAGGAGAGGAGAGGAGCUCAGUGCAUCAUGGGAAGUCCUCCAGCAGUCUGGGUCUGGAGCAGCAUCAGUAAGGGAUGCUUCAGGGUCACCUGAACCAUUAGCGUUACCAAACAGGAACGUUUUAGGCCUGAUGUUACAGGUGAUGUGGUCGUCUGCCUCCUAAACCUAAAGCCUGAUAGCUGAACACUGCCUACAUCUGAGACUCAAGGAACCAGAAGUAAACCUGCAGCCUGAGACCUCACCAGCAACAGGAAGUAGCUCAGCUCAUGUCCGUCGUCCAGCCGCCAUGAUGAAGCUGCUCUUAUCCACAUGACAAAAACGUGAACUUGCUGUGCUCGAUGAAUGGUUCCACCUGAUGCGGAUAUUUCAGAUCUAACAUCAGUCGUGACGUGGGAACAUCUCAGGUGGUUUGUCUGCAGCUGCUUCUUUAUGUAGAUCAAAUACACAAAGCUUCCACCUGUGGCGACAACAGAAGUGUGUCUUUGUGAAACUUGAAUGUCCAGGCAUGAGGUUGACCGUUAAAUCCUACAGUGUUGUUUCAGACGUCUACGCUGUGUGUGUUUGGCAGGUCCAGAGCCUCGUUUAGACUUCAUCAUGAUCUAGAUGGACAGAGGCUUUACUGUCAUUGUGCAAAAUACAAGGAAACAUCAGCAGCAGUGCAAC